ACUCCUACGGGAGGCAGCAGUGGGGAAUAUUGGACACUGGGCGCAAGCCUGAUCCAGCCAUGCCGCGUGAGUGAUGAAGGCCCUAGGGUUGUAAAGCUCUUUCACCGGUGAAGAUAAUGACGGUAACCGGAGAAGAAGCCCCGGCUAACUUCGUGCCAGCAGCCGCGGUAAUACGAAGGGGGCUAGCGUUGUUCGGAUUUACUGGGCGUAAAGCGCACGUAGGCGGACUAUUAAGUCAGGGGUGAAAUCCCGGGGCUCAACCCCGGAACUGCCUUUGAUACUGGUAGUCUUGAGUUCGAGAGAGGUGAGUGGAAUUCCGAGUGUAGAGGUGAAAUUCGUAGAUAUUCGGAGGAACACCAGUGGCGAAGGCGGCUCACUGGCUCGAUACUGACGCUGAGGUGCGAAAGCGUGGGGAGCAAACAGGAUUAGAAACCCUAGUAGUCCCAUG
rnacentral:rRNA from 1 species